GAUGAACGCUGGCGGCGUGCCUAAUACAUGCAAGUCGAGCGAACAGACGAGGAGCUUGCUCCUCUGACGUUAGCGGCGGACGGGUGAGUAACACGUGGAUAACCUACCUAUAAGACUGGGAUAACUUCGGGAAACCGGAGCUAAUACCGGAUAAUAUAUUGAACCGCAUGGUUCAAUAGUGAAAGACGGUUUUGCUGUCACUUAUAGAUGGAUCCGCGCCGCAUUAGCUAGUUGGUAAGGUAACGGCUUACCAAGGCAACGAUGCGUAGCCGACCUGAGAGGUGGGUCGCCCACCCGAGAGGUGGAACGGGCCCAAGCCCCCUGCGGAAGGCACCAGACGGAAAUGUCCGGCAGGGGGGGAAAUCAUGGCGGAACAGCCCCGAGCGAGAGGUAGAGUCCUCGGGUGAGAAAAACUUUUUUUUGGGGUAAAAACAAAUGUGAACAUAAAUGUACCGCUAGUGACGGUACCUAAACAAAAAGCAACGGCUAACUACGUG
rnacentral:rRNA from 1 species